rnacentral:lncRNA from 1 species
AGGAGUCAGUUCAACUCCUGGAACUGUUCAGAAACCAAGGCAUGGCUUCUGAUUGGCUGCAGGAACUUCCUGCACUCAAGCGGAAGUCGCGUUGGACGUUCGUCUUCAAAAGAAUGUUUUGAAAACACUUACUUCCGGGUUUUUGGCGUUCAGGAAUCAAAACGUACGAGUACCAAGGCGUUCAAGAACCAAGGUAUGACUGUGUUUUGUUUCUAGGUAUCCUAUAUAAGCUAUCGCUGCCUUCUGUGGGAUAACCUUCCAAUAGGUUUGGCAUAGCCUUGACUGCUUAUUACGAAAGAAGAAUGUUUAUCCCUGAUUCUGGGGCACAAAUCCACAAGUCAUACGCCCUGACUUACAUCCCUUUCAAAAUCUUCUAAAACAGUAUGUAAAGCGGGUGGCAGAGAAGGUAAUGGGUCCGCACACCCCUCUGGCAUUCAUGUAUUUCAGUAAUUCAUUGAGACUCUGCGUUUUGGCUGUUUAUCUCAAAAUUUAUACCUGAAGGAGCGUCACCCCCAUCGUUCAGCCCGGACACUGAGGUAGAGCUCAGAGGGCCUUCUGGCAAUUCCCUCACUGCAAGAAGUGAGAUUACAGGGAACCAGGCAGAGGGCCUUCUUGGUGGUGGCGCCUGCCCUGUGGAACACCCUCCCAUCAGAUGUCAAGGAAAUUAACAACUAUCUGAAUUUUAGAAGAUAUCUGAAGGCAGCCCUGUUUAGGGAAGUUUUUAAUGUUCAAUGAUUUGUCGUAUUUUUAAUAUUCUGCUGGGAGCCGCCCAGAGUGGCUUGGGAAACCCAGCCAGAUGGGUGGGGUAUAAAUAAUAAAUUAUUAUUAUUAGUAGUAGUAGUAGUAUGUCUAUUGAAAAGUGAGUGUCAUUGAAGUGAAUGGAGUUUUUUAUAAUUUUUAUUGAAAUUCAUUGACAUAAAAUACAAUAAGAAACAGUCUACAGAAUAUUAAAUAAUAUAUAAUAUUAAUAUAUAUUAAUAUUUGAAAACACUUACUUCCGGGUUUUUGGCGUUUAUAUAUAAUAAUAUAUAAUAUUAAAUAUAAAUAAUAUUCUGUAAUAUUAUUAAUAUUAAAAGAAUAUUAAAGUAAGCCAAUGGGGUUUAAGAGGGCAACAAUCCUAUUCACACUUACCUGGGAGUCAGUCAAUGGGUCUUACUUCUGAGUAGACGCACACAGCAUUACACUGCUCAUCCCUUAAAUGUAGCCAAUAAUAGGCAUUUAUUGUGUAUUUUGUCCAUUUACCAGAAUAGCCUUGGCCUUCCCUAAACAUGAAAUAAUGAAAUAGCACCCCUGAGGAUAUAUGUGAACGUUUAUAGGGAGAUUGUCAUUUGAAUUUAAAACACUUUCCCAGCACAUUACAUGCCACAUUUAAAGAAAAAUUAAGAUUCCCAAGUCUCAAAAAUCACAUGAGGGGCAAGGAGGUUAUUAACCUCAUUUACGAAAGCUCCUUGAACAGUCGGUGGAAAUGAGUGCAGUGCAAUCACUGAAAGGAAGGGGAGGACUAUAUUUGAAGGGGUGUGUGGAAACAGGUACUCUGGAGAAGGGAGAUAAUUAGUUUCUUUUUCUUUUUUUAAGGAAGUAGAAGAGAAUGUCUCUUUAAAGGCCAAUGACUUUGAAAGGCAAAGAGGUUUUUUUUGGAGGACACCAAAGCAGUGAUCCUGGAAAAAGUGGACGGAAUUCAGUUUUAAAUUUCAAUAAUCUUACUAGGAGGUUAGGCAUACACUUAAUCCAGAAAGAAAGAAAGAAAGAAAGAAAGAAAGAAAGAAAGAAAGAAAGGUAAAGGACCCCUGGACAAUUAAGUCCAGUCAAAGGCGGCUAUGGAGUUGUGGCACUCAUCUCACUUUCAGGCCGAGGCAGUCAGCGUUUGUCCAUAGACAGCUUUUCCGGGUCAUGUGGCCAGCAUGACUAAACCACUUCUGGCGCAAAGGAACACCGUGAUGGAAACCAGAGUGCGUGGAAACACUGUUUACCUUCCCGCUGCAGCGAUACCUAUUUAUCUACUUGCACUAGUGUGCUUUCGAACUGCUAGGUAGGCAGAAGCUGGGACAGAGCAACAGGAGCUCACCCUGUUUCAGGGAUUUGAACCACUGACCUUCUGAUCGGCAAGCCC